UCUGAGAAAUUUGAUGACAAAGUUUUGGUGCACAUUUUUAAAUCUCAUUUCAACACGCUUGGGUAUUUUUCGAUUCUGAAAACGCCCAAAUGGGUCUAGAGUUAUGCUUUUCAAGUGUGCAACUCGGGAUCAUAUAAAAGUUAAUAUUACACUUAGUUCUGAAGCAAUUUGGUUCAUACAACCUAUGAGUGCACAUAGGACACGUUCAUAGGACAAAUUUUGCACAUAAGACUUAACGCAUUGGACUAUAUUCAUGUGGCAUUUCACAUAAAACUUUAUGAAAUAAAAUUUAAAUCUCGAUUUAAAAAAACAAUACUUUUUUGAUAACAGUGUAUGUCCAACCCUCUCGCAACGUGUAGGCAACAGCUGAUGAAGAGCAUGAAAUAUUUCAAUGCUUCCAGCGCGUGAGAGGAGAGAGAAACCGUUAUAACCAAUCAGACUUCUGUCAGAUGGGUGGCGGGUAGGAUAAUUUACGAUGUUAAAUUAACCAAUGCGCCAAUGUAAACAAUGAUUAUUGUUUACCUUGGCGCAUUGGAUAUUUUGACAUGGAAAAUUGUCCUAUCCGCCUAUCAUGCUGUGAGCGCACAUACUACUGUUGUGUUUAAUUUUUUAAAGCAAUAGCAAUCAAUGUACGGUCGAAUACAGCAACUGCAAAGCUUUUAGCUUCAUUGCGUCAAAAAUUAAAUAGGACCACCGUUCGAUCUUGCGCUGCGCUUGGCGGGAAAGGGGACGGCCAAGGGCGGUCGAAUCUGGUACCUGGACGACGAGGAUGUCCUCUACAUCGACGUGGUCCUCUCUGGUCGGCCCUCAAUGACUCUGUUCUCGUGCAUCACGACGUUGACAUUGCGUGCUGGUAUCACGGCUGGUAUCAAAGCUACAAACAAAGGACAAUCGGCUCAGAAACAACUCCGCCAACCUGCGCAAACGAGAAUUUGUGUACAACUUCAGGAAGUUUAUACAACACAUUCACAUCGUAUUCUUUGUCUUCAUACUCCUACAACCUACAUCUAAGUACCAUCUUCUUCCUCUUCAUCCGGACUGAAAGAUCUGUUUAUGGAGUUUUGCCGACACAACACGAUCCACGGCAUCAGCCGCAUUGGAUCGCGGCAUCGAAUGCUUUUUGAGAAGUUCUGUAAAAAGUUCUGCUCUGUCGAUGUACGACUGUGGAAAGCUGAUCGACGGGAUGUACCGAAAGUGGGAUGAAAAUCCCGUGAUUGUAACGUUUGACGAGGUCACCCCAGUUUGGGCGAUUCCGUUUCCGGCCGUGACGAUCUGCUUGGAGACGAAGGUCGUAUGGAGCAAGGUGAACUGCGUCACUCUCGUCCAAACUUUGAUCACCUCCAUCACAUGGUGAAUCGUUGACUUCAAGAUUCGGCAACGUCACCUGAUCACUUCGAUUAGCCGGUGUUUCCCGAGGCGAAGUGGGGCUUGUCGACGUUUCCGUCGACUUCGGCUGCGGUUUAUCCUCAGUGGAACGCAAAACUGUAAAGAAAAAGCUUAGAUUGUAACCAACAAUAAGCAAAAAUGUUAGAUUAGCAUACCGGCCGAUGCCGAAACUGGACGAUCCAACAAUUCCUUUCCAGAUCGUGUUUGGACCGAAAGAUCGAUUGCGGCGGGGAAUGCUGGACCUGUCAUCGGGAUGCAAACUGUAAGGGAUUGGACAUCUGGUCUCGGGGCGUGGCCUGCCCAUCCUGCAAAUAACCAUUUAUCUGCGAUAGAAGGUUUCAGCGAGCUGUCAUCCAUUUCUGCGAGAAUAAUUCACGUUAGGUACUAUUUCAUCAUAAAAAAUAAACAAAUACAAACCAUCAACGGAAACUGCUGGAAAAUUCUCAACCUCUUCUCUUUGACUAUCGAGUCCCGCAGCAAAUGAGGUAUUCUUGAUUCAGGCGUAGAUGUGGGCGCGUUGAAAUCGCCGAACGUAAUGUCAAGAACGGUCAAAUUCCCGGAAUCUUCUUUUUGUUUCUGAUGUUUCAUCUCUGCAACUAAAUGAUUUAUGUAACUUGCAUCUUUCGGUUUAAACAGUUCAAUUUACAUACCGGUCCGUUCCUUCAAUGGACUUGAUGUGGGUGUCGCUUCCUUCUCUGGGUAUUCCAAAUACGACAGUACCAAAGCUGGCCGUUCGGAUGGCAUCCGAUGAUCACCUGUCUUGGCAUCGAUAUCUUGCGGAUUACACCUUGGUCCGUUAAGCUCAACCAGGAGCUUUCGAUGAGUUGGAGCAGGUGGGCGAAUUUUGUUUGAACUUUUCACAACUGUAAACGGAGGCCCUGAGUCGGAACUAAAGCAAAGCAACUUUACCGGAAUCGAAAUUCCAUUUCUGGACAACCGGAUCUCCCGCUGCUUGUAGAGGACCGGGAGACUUCCGUAAAUGAUCUUUCGGCGAUAAAUGACAACCGAGAAGUACCGGAGCGUGUGCAAAACACCGAGCAAUUCUCACUAGUGUCAAAACAAAAAAUAUGUUUUUUUGUUCAAUCCAAUUUAUGCUCGCCUUUGGCUCGCAUUCAAUCAAUCCUAUCUGUCAAAUUCGAGAGAGGGCGGGUAGGUCGUUUUGCACUAUUCCUUUCGACUUUGGCAACAUUGAAAAAUUUCAUGCUCUCUCCCAGCUGAUGACUACACUCUGCGCGAGAUUCGGAUAUAUUGUUCAUUGUACAUAAAUUGAAGAUUGUAAAAUAAAUUAGUUUCAUACAAGAACGACGUAUAAUUUAUUUUUUUAAUUAUCAAUUAUAUCUUUAACAUAGGUCAUUUUGAUGUGAGCGUAUGUGCAUGAUGAUUAAAAUAUAUUUAUAAUUGCUCAUAGGUCGAUUUGCUACCGUUCUAUGUACACGUUCGACUAGAAUGCACAUAGAACAACCAGUUGGUAAAAUGACCUAUAACCAUUUUGUUUAAAAUUUAUUGAGAAUAGUUGUAGGUUGUUUUGUAGAUAAAUAAUAUAUUUAAAAAUAUAAGAGUUUCAAGAAAUCGGGUUAGCGGAUAGUAUAGUUUUUAGUACACCGAAUAUAAUGCAAUAACUAACUCAGUUUGUUUACUUUUGGCGCAUAGGACCUUU